CAGCUACCAUGCAGUCGAGCGGUAGCACAGAGAGCUUGCUCUCGGGUGACGAGCGGCGGACGGGUGAGUAAUGUCUGGGAAACUGCCUGAUGGAGGGGGAUAACUACUGGAAACGGUAGCUAAUACCGCAUAAUGUCGCAAGACCAAGGUGGGGGACCUUCGGGCCUCAUGCCAUCAGAUGUGCCCAGAUGGGAUUAGCUAGUAGGUGGGGUAACGGCUCACCUAGGCGACGAUCCCUAGCUGGUCUGAGAGGAUGACCAGCCACACUGGAACUGAGACACGGUCCAGACUCCUACGGGAGGCAGCAGUGGGGAAUAUUGCACAAUGGGCGCAAGCCUGAUGCAGCCAUGCCGCGUGUAUGAAGAAGGCCUUCGGGUUGUAAAGUACUUUCAGCGGGGAGGAAGGCGAUAAGGUUAAUAACCUUGUCGAUUGACGUUACCCGCAGAAGAAGCACCGGCUAACUCCGUGCCAGCAGCCGCGGUAAUACGGAGGGUGCAAGCGUUAAUCGGAAUUACUGGGCGUAAAGCGCACGCAGGCGGUCUGUCAAGUCGGAUGUGAAUCCCCGGGCUCAACCUGGGAACUGCAUUCGAAACUGGCAGGCUAGAGUCUUGUAGAGGGGGGUAGAAUUCCAGGUGUAGCGGUGAAAUGCGUAGAGAUCUGGAGGAAUACCGGUGGCGAAGGCGGCCCCCUGGACAAAGACUGACGCUCAGUGCGAAAGCGUGGGGAGCAAACAGAUUAGAUACCCUGUAGUCCACGCCGUAAACGAUGUCGAUUUGGAGGUUGUGCCUUGAAGGCGUGCCUUCCCGGAGCUAACGCG
rnacentral:rRNA from 1 species